rnacentral:rRNA from 1 species
CCUACGGGGUGCUGCAGUGGGGAAUAUUGGACAAUGGGCGAAAGCCUGAUCCAGCCAUGCCGCGUGUGUGAAGAAGGCCUUCGGGUUGUAAAGCACUUUCAGUGGGGAAGAAAGCCUUGGGGCUAAUACCCUCGAGGAAGGACAUCACCCACAGAAGAAGCACCGGCUAACUCCGUGCCAGCAGCCGCGGUAAUACGGAGGGUGCGAGCGUUAAUCGGAAUUACUGGGCGUAAAGCGCGCGUAGGCGGUCUGAUAAGUCGGUUGUGAAAGCCCCGGGCUCAACCUGGGAACGGCAUCCGGAACUGUCAGGCUAGAGUGCAGGAGAGGAAGGUAGAAUUCCCGGUGUAGCGGUGAAAUGCGUAGAGAUCGGGAGGAAUACCAGUGGCGAAGGCGGCCUUCUGGACUGACACUGACGCUGAGGUGCGAAAGCGUGGGUAGCAAACAGGAUUAGAUACCCCAGUAGUC